CAAGACUUUUUCAGGUUGAAAAGUCAAUUAUGGGAGGAAAAAAAAAAUUUAAAUCAUAUAUUUGAUUGUUUUCCUUUUCUUCUCCCUCCCUCCCGAACCUUUCUCUUUCUUCUUCUUCUCUCUUUUUUUUUCUUUUUCUUUUCCUUCCUUUGUUUUCUCUCCAAACCAGCCACGGCAAGCUUCAGACCAGCCACCGUCGGAGCUCCAUUUCUGAUACGCGCUGGAGCUGCAGCUUCCCUGACCGGCGAUGACGGAAACCCCAAAGUUUGGUGACCAUUGGAGCAAGGACGCGCCUGUACGGCCACUCCGAAGUUUCGCCGUCGAAACUUUGAGGUGACUUUCCGGCGAACUCCGACCACCGUUCGGCGAAUGGGUGGUACCAUUGGAAUCAGCAUCGUGAAAGGAUCGUCGCCCACUAAGUCAUCCCGGUCAACUCGCCACUUUUCUCCGGCGAGAUUUUGGGUAUCUUCGCCCCUUUGGAAGCAUUUUCUGGCGACACCGGAGGUCAUUUGGACGAAGGAGCUGUACUUUUGUGAUGUACUCAUCGAGAGGAUCGUUUUGAUAUAUGCUAUGCAUAUAUUCGUCGAUGUUUCCGGUACUGCCACCAACCGCUAUAGUGCACCGCUUGGGAAAAGCGUGAUAUUAAAAUCAGACUAAAUCAUUCUAAGAUCGUCGAUAAGCUUAGGAGCGUUGCUUUGGGCUCGGAUUAAAUUCUAAAGAGGUAGGGACUCAACUAGACUAUUGGACUUAUUUUACUCGUAUUAAAUUGCAUUCAACAUAUUCCAAUUUUGAUAUUUAUAAAAUGUUUGAAAAAUUGAAAACUUAACCUGCAUGUUUUCUGAUCUGUUCUGAGGGCACCGAGUGCCAAAUAUAUAUUUUUUUUCACUUAUUUAUGCAGGUUAUGAUUUUUGGGUUUAUUCAAAUGUAGCUGUUAUGCUGCCCAAUUUUCUAAAAUAUAAAGGGAGUAUGUUUGUUUCUUUUAAUGUUUACCUGCAUUUGGUUAUACUGAUGAGAGCCAUAGUGGUCAUGAUUGGUGCACGUUGUUGUUUCACGACCUAGUCUCUGUGUCAUCAUAGGUAGAUCAGGUGUCCACUCACCUGUAGGUGUAAAGACCUAGUAUCUGUAUACAGGAAGUGUUCUGAGCAUCCCCCUUGUGGUGGUUAUCAGGUCCGGCUACCCGGUUUAGGAUGUCGGAUUUUCUAUGGUGGGUAACGGGAACUAGGGAUCUAGUGGACGGUGUGAUGUGCACUUGUAGCUAUGCUCUUAUGAUUAUUUGUGGUCUCUCUAUUUUGGUUUAUACAUGAUGAUGUAUGUUUUGUUUUAAAAAGCUAACCAUGCAGGGGUUUUUAUUGAACUUUUGAGUCCGAUGUUGUUAGUUGCUUUCCUACUGGGCUUUAUAAGCUCACCCCUAUCUCUCCCAUUCCAGGAGCCUAGUGAAGCGAACGUAGAAAAGUAUGAAUUGUUGCUGAAGCCAAGGUGUUUAGAGCCACAGUCCUAUCUUUUGAACAUUGUAUGUAUUUAAUUUGGAACCUAUCGGUCUGUACAUCUAAAUUAGCUAUGUCUUAGUUAGGAAUGAGGAAUGGUGGAUGCUAAGUAUUAUUUUGGAUAUUUUAUGACUUAUUAAAUUUAA